rnacentral:rRNA from 1 species
UGGGGAAUAUUGCACAAUGGGCGAAAGCCUGAUGCAGCAACGCCGCGUGAGUGAUGAAGGCCUUCGGGUUGUAAAGCUCUGUCUUUUGGGACGAUAAUGACGGUACCAAAGGAGGAAGCCACGGCUAACUACGUGCCAGCAGCCGCGGUAAUACGUAGGUGGCAAGCGUUGUCCGGAUUUACUGGGCGUAAAGGAUGCGUAGGCGGAUUUUUAAGUGAGAUGUGAAAACCCUAAGCUUAACUUGGGGACUGCAUUUCAUACUGGAAAUCUAGAGUGCGGGAGAGGAGAAUGGAAUUCCUAGUGUAGCGGUGAAAAUGCGUAGAGAUUAGGAAGAACACCAGUGGCGAAGGCGAUUCUCUGGACCGUAACUGACGCUGAGGCAUGAAAGCGUGGGUAGCAAACAGGAUUAGAUACCCUGGUAGUCCACGCCGUAAACCGAUGAGUACUAGGUGUAGGAGGUAUCGACCCCUUCUGUGCCGCAGUUAACACAAUAAGUACUCCGCCUGGGAAGUACGAUCGCAAGA